rnacentral:piRNA from 1 species
AUUAAAGAGGGGAAUGUGGAGGA